AGUGAGCGCUGGCGGUAGGCCUAACACAUGCAAGUCGAACGGCAGCACAGUAAGAGCUUGCUCUUACGGGUGGCGAGUGGCGGACGGGUGAGGAAUACAUCGGAAUCUACUUUUUCGUGGGGGAUAACGUAGGGAAACUUACGCUAAUACCGCAUACGACCUACGGGUGAAAGCAGGGGAUCUUCGGACCUUGCGCGAUUGAAUGAGCCGAUGUCGGAUUAGCUAGUUGGCGGGGUAAAGGCCCACCAAGGCGACGAUCCGUAGCUGGUCUGAGAGGAUGAUCAGCCACACUGGAACUGAGACACGGUCCAGACUCCUACGGGAGGCAGCAGUGGGGAAUAUUGGACAAUGGGCGCAAGCCUGAUCCAGCCAUACCGCGUGGGUGAAGAAGGCCUUCGGGUUGUAAAGCCCUUUUGUUGGGAAGAAAAGCAGCAGGUUAAUACCCCGCUGUUCUGACGGUACCCAAAGAACAAGCACCGGCUAACUUCGUG
rnacentral:rRNA from 1 species